AUUGAACGCUGGCGGCAUGCCUAACACAUGCAAGUCGAACGGCAGCAUGGUCUAGCUUGCUAGACUGAUGGCGAGUGGCGAACGGGUGAGUAAUGCGCAGGAAUAUACCUUGAAGAGCGGGACAACUUGGGGAAACUCAAGCUAAUACCGCAUGAGCUCUUAGGAGGAAAGCUGGGGACCUUAGGGCCUGGCGCUUUGAGAAUAGCCUGCGUCCGAUUAGCUAGUUGGUAGGGUAAGAGCCUACCAAGGCGACGAUCGGUAGCUGGUCUGAGAGGAUGGUCAGCCACACUGGGACUGAGACACGGCCCAGACUCCUACGGGAGGCAGCAGUGGGAAUAUU
rnacentral:rRNA from 1 species